rnacentral:lncRNA from 1 species
UGCCACCCCCACGCCCUCUUCCUCUUUUGUCCCUUUAUUUUCCCUUCUUUGCCCCACACCCUAGCUCCUCUUUUUCCCUUUAUUUCUUCUCCAUCGUAGCCCCCACAAGCCGUCACCACCGCACAAAACUUCCAGCCACCACACGUCACCAUCUACCAACCGCAUCUCACCCCGAGCCCUUCUCCCUUUUCUUCCCCAUUUCUCCUUCGACAUAUUUUGCCUCGCAACCACUACGCCCACCGCCUCCACUCUUCCCCUCACCUCAUCCAAAUACACUCACACCCUUCCCCCCACCUCGUCACCCAUGCACACGCACCUCCAACACCCUUCCCUGUCCCGUCGCGC